rnacentral:rRNA from 3 species
GAAUGCUGACAUAAGUAACGAUAAAGCGGGUGAAAAGCCCGCUCGCCGGAAGACCAAGGGUUCCUGUCCAACGUUAAUCGGGGCAGGGUGAGUCGACCCCUAAGGCGAGGCCGAAAGGCGUAGUCGAUGGGAAACGGGUUAAUAUUCCCGUACUUGGUGUUACUGCGAAGGGGGGACGGAGAAGGCUAUGUUGGCCGGGCGACGGUUGUCCCGGUUUAAGCGUGUAGGUGUGUGUUCCAGGUAAAUCCGGUUCACUUUAACACUGAGGCGUGACGACGAGGCACUACGGUGCUGAAGCAACAAAUGCCCUGCUUCCAGGAAAAGCCUCUAAGCAUCAGGUAACAUCAAAUCGUACCCCAAACCGACACAGGUGGUCAGGUAGAGAAUACCAAGGCGCUUGAGAGAACUCGGGUGAAGGAACUAGGCAAAAUGGUGCCGUAACUUCGGGAGAAGGCACGCUGACACGUAGGUGAAGUGAUUUACUCAUGGAGCUGAAGUCAGUCGAAGAUACCAGCUGGCUGCAACUGUUUAUUAAAAACACAGCACUGUGCAAACACGAAAGUGGACGUAUACGGUGUGACGCCUGCCCGGUGCCGGAAGGUUAAUUGAUGGGGUCAGCGCAAGCGAAGCUCCUGAUCGAAGCCCCGGUAAACGGCGGCCGUAACUAUAACGGUCCUAAGGUAGCGAAAUUCCUUGUCGGGUAAGUUCCGACCUGCACGAAUGGCGUAAUGAUGGCCAGGCUGUCUCCACCCGAGACUCAGUGAAAUUGAACUCGCUGUGAAGAUGCAGUGUACCCGCGGCAAGACGGAAAGACCCCGUGAACCUUUACUAUAGCUUGACACUGAACAUUGAGCCUUGAUGUGUAGGAUAGGUGGGAGGCUUUGAAGUGUGGACGCCAGUCUGCAUGGAGCCGACCUUGAAAUACCACCCUUUAAUGUUUGAUGUUCUAACGUGGACCCGUUACCCGGGUUGCGGACAGUGUCUGGUGGGUAGUUUGACUGGGGCGGUCUCCUCCUAAAGAGUAACGGAGGAGCACGAAGGUUGGCUAAUCCUGGUCGGACAUCAGGAGGUUAGUGCAAUGGCAUAAGCCAGCUUGACUGCGAGCGUGACGGCGCGAGCAGGUGCGAAAGCAGGUCAUAGUGAUCCGGUGGUUCUGAAUGGAAGGGCCAUCGCUCAACGGAUAAAAGGUACUCCGGGGAUAACAGGCUGAUACCGCCCAAGAGUUCAUAUCGACGGCGGUGUUUGGCACCUCGAUGUCGGCUCAUCACAUCCUGGGGCUGAAGUAGGUCCCAAGGGUAUGGCUGUUCGCCAUUUAAAGUGGUACGCGAGCUGGGUUUAGAACGUCGUGAGACAGUUCGGUCCCUAUCUGCCGUGGGCGCUGGAGAACUGAGGGGGGCUGCUCCUAGUACGAGAGGACCGGAGUGGACGCAUCACUGGUGUUCGGGUUGUCAUGCCAAUGGCACUGCCCGGUAGCUAAAUGCGGAAGAGAUAAGUGCUGAAAGCAUCUAAGCACGAAACUUGCCCCGAGAUGAGUUCUCCCUGA